UUUCAGCAAGGAGAGGCCCCUUUAUUUUUCUGGAGAGACAACAGAGAUGUCCAACUCACCUCCUCGUACGAAUAAUACAUGGUGGGAAUUAAUGUCGUGUUGUCAGAGUAAUAUUCCACUGUUGCAUACAAGUAAUCACCUGGAAGGAAAACCCUGUCCUGCACUCCCUGAAACCACAGAAAGCAGGAGUUCACCUCAGGCCCUGCAAGCACAGAGCGUCCCCUCCAGGCGGCUUCCAGCGAAGUGUCGUGGAUUUACUGGUGCUUUGUGCAAAAUCUUCAGCCCUGGUUGGACUAAAAUGGCUUCACAAUCUGCCCAGAGUGAAAUCAGAGACUCCACAGCAAAAGGAAUCUCGCGUCAGACCGGCCCAGAGCUCCUCCAGAGGUCACCUGGAGCUCUCUAAAACUCCAUCCCUAACGUAGCCCCGCGUUUCCCAGCCACGGGCUGAGUGAGAAACCGAGAUCCACAAACCCAUCAGGAGGAAAUCAUCUGAAAACAGCCACCCAGCCUCAAGAUUUCAGCACAGACACCCCAAAACCUUUCAGCCUCCAAGACCCCACCCUGAGCGCCAUCCAGCAUCCCUAAAGCAUAGAAACAGCUCCAGCUGGGCACUCAACAGCCUGACAACGUUCAACCCCAAGCUAGAAAACCCAGAGAAAUGUAUUUACCCAGUGAAAAGUGAAGAACCAAGAGCGCUGCAAUUACGAAGUUCGUCAUCCUACGGGUCGGUGUCGGCCGCCCAGCGCUGCUGCUGCUCGGGUGUUUCUUGAGCCGUCCCAGCGGAGGCAGGAAAUGACUCUUGUGAGGGCAGGACCAAACAACCUCCACACUGGGAGAGAGUAAAAAAGAGAGAACAGGAGGUUUUGCUGCAAUUUGCCAAGCGGUGAGAUGUCAGGUUGGGCUGGAGGUCGGCCUCCGGGGCUCAGCAGGUACACACGACGCUCCGUGAUGCCGCUGCGGUGACUGAGGAUGUUUUUCCCCCUGUAAAGGCUUUUGCUGAGGGCUGAGUUGCAAAUCUUGAGGCAGUUAUUCCUCAGGGAGGGUCAGCGCUGCCGGAUGAGCACACAAACAGAGAGAGGAUGGGUUUGAUUAUGUUAGAAUUGAGUAUAAGAAUAGCAAAGUCCUUUCUGUCGUGUGGGCAGAGGCAGAAACGACGGCUGGGAACCAGAUUGGGUUCCCAACUUCCCAUCAAAUCAUGAGGGAUUUUCCUUUCUUGGCUUCGUUUCACCUUUCUGUGCCUCAGUUUCUCCAUCAGGAAGAAGAAACACAAAUGGUGGAUGGAAAUACCUGGAGCUGGGCUGCUUUAGGAGCCACAGUCGGGGCUGAUGGUUGCUCUGUGGUGCCUUGAUCCGUGU